UUAACUCAAAUUUGUAUGGAGUCGGAACGUUUGCCUACGUUUACGCUAGGGGCGCUGUUCCAACUGCCUUUAAAAUUGAGUUA
rnacentral:pre_miRNA from 1 species